UCCCAACCUACUCACCUUCCCAACGCUCCUUGCGACGCCAAGCAGGACAAGCACCCGGGCGCGCCUCCCUCAGCCCCUCCCCUCCUCGACCUCCCUCCCCUCUCCUCCUGCGUUCCUAAGGGCCGCGAGCCCCGCCACCCGGCCGGCCGCGCAGAACCACGUGUCCCAUGCUCCCGCACGCGGCUGGAGGUCAGUGCACGCAGAUCCGCAUGCGGAGCAUGGAACCGGCGCGGCUCCGACCACUCGAGCCAUCGCCGUCCAACCAAACCCGAGAUGCAUUUCUGCUGAUUCCCGUGGGCCUCAAGCCAUGCACGCAACGUGUUCGUUCAAUUGCCUGAGUUGGAGGAUAUGUUUUCUACCUGUCAAGUAUGUCUGUUAGUUUAUGAGCAGCACUUACGAGUGUUGAUUGAUCUUUUAUUUCGAUACUUUAUUUGACCUCCAAGCUGUUUCCUAAGAAAGAUCCUUGAGAGACUUUCUGAGAGAGGGAGGCAGAGGAACAAGCACAAUGUGAACGACUGAAGAAGCAGUUGUUGCGUAAGCAGGAAUUGAUCAUAGUAUUGCCACAUUGUGCUACCACUAUUCACCUUUCAUCAGCCUUCUGAAAUUACAUUUUCUUUUUGUACUUCUUUUUCUAUAGAAUUACCCAUUUUGUGUCACAUUUCAGAUAAAGCUUGCUUACAGUUGCUGGGAUGGAACUGGGCAUAGGAGAGCUUCCCAAGUUAAUUUCUAACUGUUACUGGAAUGUUUCUUCAAUGUCAAGUUUUUAGACUUUGCAGUUCAGACCUAAUAUACGAUUACAACAUAGCCUACUGGGAAAGGAUUUUUUUCACAGGUCAGCAGUUUUGAGGUAGUAUGCGAGUUCACAUAAAUAAUCCUCAAGGUGACUUCUGAUAUGUCCUUAUGUAUAAAGCACAUAUAUUUUUAAUGAUAUGCCUUAAUCUACCAUAUAGAAAGUUUUAAUCUAUACUGCUGUUGUGUAAAAGAUUCAUGAGCUUUUUAGGUGUUCUUUGUCCUUGAAUUGUGGAUCUGGAGUUUAAUUAUUUGGAGAAAAAAUAUUUUCCCAGUUUCAUGAGGUCAUCUCUUAGGUAAGUUAUCAUAACUGAAGCAGCAUAAGAACUUAAAUUGACCACCUAUAUCACCCUGAAUUAACACACGUGGUACGAACUUAAAUAAUGCAACACAUGUAGUACGAACUUAAAUCUUCCCUUAUGAUUCCAAAAAAACAUGAUGUGCUGCUGUACCUUAUAGGCUAUGCUCUGGUUUGCUUUGCAAGUUGAAAAUAAAGGGAGAUGCAUAAAUUCAACAGCGUUUGACAUCCAACUUAACUAAACUCAUUAUAGUACAUGAUUUUUGACCAAAUUUAAAUCACACAAUAGCACUUCUGCUUUUAUAUGAUGCCAUAGGGUACAGACAGCCCCUGCAAUUCAACUAAAACAACAACAUUGCAAAGGCCAAUAAGAUUGGAAGCUGUAACGUAAUCACAAAUUGGUAGAUGCAAGGUUUUGGAGUUAGAUUACUGAAAGAACAAUUAGGGAAAAUAGACGUGUUCCAUUCUUGAAUAUGGUGUUCACCUGAUUUUUUAUGUAGCCUUUUCUUACAAUUGUAUCCAGAUACCUGCUGUUUGUGCACACUGUUAUUCUAACAGUGCAAUAUAUAUUCAAGCAUUGGUUUACAUACUUGAGACAAGUGUUCUCGUGUACAUAUCUUUUGUGAAUUUUGUCCAAUCUCAGAGAACCUGACACUGUGUGCUGUGUAAUUUUGACUCUUUAGGUGAUCCAAGUUCGUGUAUGGACAAAGACAAGGAGCAGUAUUUAGCAGCUCCAACUGUGCAAGCUUUUCUUUUAAAAAAAAACAUGUUUACCUGGAUCAACUCAUGCCACUGCCAAAUAGUUACAGAGCCGCUACUACUGAGCUAUGAUGUUGCAAGCCAAAAAAAAAGGAAAGAAAACUCUGACUACUCUCUUUUUGUGUUCUAUUCAUCAUGAUCUGCCAUUUAUCAAUGUUAACAUGGAACAUUGAACUUCAACAUGAAUGUUGAAAUUAUAUUUCGCUAUUUUCUAGUUCUUUGUGUGUCAGCGCCCUGGACAAAACUUUCUCUAUCGCUUGCAAAAACUACUGCUUCGUUACAAAGAUGAAUAGAAUAACAAGGAAAGAAUCAAGAACACUUACAAAAAUGAACGUGUGGUCAUACAACCAAUGCAUUACCUCUACUAGUUUAUGAAUUAGUGUACUCUAAAUUUUAUAUAUCUACAUGCAACUUUCAUGUGCCUUGCAAAUAUGAACACCAUUUGCAUACAACUUUAUAUGAUCAACUCUUUUUUUCUGUUGUAUAACCACAUUCUGUUUACAUACUCAUUAUACUAAAAACGUAAAAUAACCAUCUCUCCUUUAAUACUAAAAUAUGCAAAGGCAAUUAGCGCGCAAGGGACCUCCAUGGCUGCGUGAACAUCGACUGAGGCCUGGAAUUGCUUGAACACACCAGGUAUGCUACUUACUAGAGUGUUGGUAUUCCCCAUCCUCUUGGUGCUCUUGCUACAACACCUAACGGUAUAGAAACCACCGAUAAAAAUCCAUGUCCGCUCCAAACCAUGCAUCAUCCAACAUUCACAAGCAACACAUCACUCAUGUUGCUUCUCAUCAACACACCUCAUAGCACCACCACAUCGCUAUGCCUCAUUUCCCUCCAUUCCUAACCACGACCAUCACUUGCCCAAGAUCAACCGUUGCAAUAUAGUAGCAGUGUAUCUACAAAACGAUGCUCCAGCGACAAGAUGUGCUCCCAGUCUUUAUUACAAAAAAAACAAGGCAAGAUCAUGGCACUCCCCAGAGCACCAACAAAAAACUUAAUACAAGUAAGCAUCAGUCAUAUUCUCUUAUUUAUUUCAGGAAUCAAGCAAACUGAUAAUAUAUAUUUACAAAUUCACAUGUCCUGUAGGUAGUAAGAGCCGCGAAAAACCCAGGAACUUCAUGAUCGAAUUUUUCUGGAUCAAUAAAAUUUUUAGCUACAGAAUCUCCCUACCAAUAUGUACUUCUGCAUUUAAAUUUCAAUGCAAAUUAUAGAUGCUAGCUUUAGUAUCAUUAUGUGUAAAUGCACUACUUUGUUUAAAUUCCUAUUGUACAAAUAAACAGUAUCUUCCAUGAUUAAAUGUUCCAUUACAAACAUAUAAAUUUGAAAUUUAACUAUAUCGGAAAAAAUAAGACAAAGGCGCGUCAACGCGCGCCCAAAGUAUUUUACAUGAAGAAUAAUUGUACUUUACCAUAUAGCUAUUUGCAUCCAUGGAAGGAACACCUGAAGAACAGGGCACGCUACUUCCAAUACAGCGCAAAGAAGGAUUUACUCCCAGUCUUCAUCACAGACAAAGGCAGAGCAAAACCAUACCAGUGCUUAGAUCACUAAGCCAAAUUCGAAAAAUUGAUUGCAGGUCAGGAGCGGGGCAACCAUUCCAGGGACUUUACAUUCAGCACUGCCUGUAAUAAGCAAUAGCACUUCAGUACUAAAAUAUAGCUAAUAGCAUAUCACAAAUAAUUGUACUAUUACUACUAAUAUAUGGACAUACCACGCUAAUGCUACGUGUA